ensembl:lncRNA
CGCACAGCAUUUCACAGAAUUUACACAGAAUGGUGUGAAAAACAAAAAACGUCCAUUAAGUGCCAGUUCUGUAGGUGGAAAUACCCUGGUGAUCAGAGGAGGAUGGCCACUGUUUUAAGCUGACAGGAUGGCUACAGUAACUCAAAUAAGCACUCAUUACAACCAUGGUGAGUAGAAAAGCAUCUCAGAAUGCAUAACAUUUCAAACCUUUAGGCAGAUGGGCUUCAAUAGCAGAAGACCACAUUGAGAUCCAUUCCUGUCAGCCAAGAACAGGAAUCUGAGGCUCCAGUAGGCACAGACUCGCCAAAACUGGACAGUUGGAUAUUAGAAAUAGGCCAGGCAAUGUUUAUAUAUAUUUGUGUGUAUGUACUCCAAGACCAAACAGAGUUACAAGCUACCCAAUACAGUAGUUGCUAUAGAUCCACAAUUCUGAAGCAUCCAGUCAUAACACAAUGUAGGCACUGGUGUGAUGGAGAGCCACUGAUGUAGACAUGGUGCUGUCUAAUAUCCAUUGUAUGAAUUUCAACACUGAUCUGAGACAGACAGAAAACAAUGGAAUGGCAGCAGGAGUUGACUUGUGAGGUAUCUACUGUGAGUGUUAUUAGUAAUGAAAAUAUCUGUUGAGAUGAAGAAAUAAAGCCUGUGUAGUGUACUAUGAACUGCAUGUUAUGAAAUGUGCAUGCUAGAAAUAUCUGGAAAUUACACCCUUUGAACAUCCUCACAUCAUUAUUUGUGUGACAUGCAGGAUGACAAGUGAUUGCACAAGACUGUCUCUUAGUCUGAGUAGAUGAACAAGAAGUCAGGAGACAACUUGGAUUGGGCAGUGGAAAAUGAAACCAGAGGGUUGUGACCUGACAAACAUCUCAUGUAGUCUCACACACAAGGUAAUAAUAUACUUCCAUCUGCCCUCUGCCAAGAGAGAGAGUGCUGAAGACCAACUGAAUAAAUGAUGCAGCUAUAAUUGUGUGGGUGUUUGUAUGGAUAUCAGAGUUGUGGUUUAUGUGUGUGUACUGAAAAUUUUGUAUGUGUGAACAGUUUGAAAGAAAGAAAUUAUAUUGUACUGGAAAUUACAAAUCCCACCCCAUGUACUGUAUAUGAGUUAAAAUAGGAAUGACACAUUUCAGGACAGGAAAAUACUCUACUUCAGUGUGGAUUAUUUUCAUAUAAGAACACAGCUUGUUUUGUGUUUUAACUUACUUAAUGCAUACUGUGGUUGAGGGAGAAUUCAGUCAACCUCACAUUAAGCCCAUAAAUUCCCAACUUAUUAUUCAGUAGCUAAUUUUAAAUACUAUUCAGUAACUACAGAGAAUUAUUCAGUAACUAGUGACACUAAUAGGAAAGUUGUGUAAUUAAAAGAGUGGGAAAGUUAAGUCUGGACUGCUAACAGGUCUUGGGAUUUUAUGGGGUUAAUCAUGGGUCACACUACUGUUCUUAUGGGAAUUAUCUGAGAUUUCAUCAACACCCCAAAUCCAUCCAUGAAUAAAACAUUGUGACUCGCUUCCCACAUGCUCUCUCCUCUUGUUUUUGGAUGCUACACUGUGAAAUGGCUCUGUGGGGGAAGGAACAGGAACCAAAAGCUCUUGAUGCCUAAUUUAUGAACAGCAUCUACAUUCCAACUGAUUCGGUUUGAUUUGGUUGUAGUCAAUUUCCAGACACAGUGCCUUGGGAUCUCAUCUUGAGAUCCAAAAGAAAUGUGAGAGGUGCACAGAAGGGAAUGAAGUCCUUUGAAUUUGAUGAUUCCAUGUCCCAUGUCAGCCUUUUCUGUGGUCUGUCUUUGAUUACUGCAGCUUGAAGAUGAGUUUCAGAAUGAAGUGUUAUUUGUUAUGUUUGUGAUAUACUGUAAGAAAGGGAUGUUUUCUCUCUGUUGUUAAUACUAUGAGUUACAUAGUGUAAAAUUGUUAUAUUGUUGUAGUUUAAUUUAAUACGUACUGUACUAUUUGUAAUGAUUUUUAUAUUGUAAUUAUUGUUAUAUAAUGGUGAGUGUAAUUUUUAUGCUGUAGGG